GAGCCUUAAGAGCAUAUUGACCAUUCUCCAUCUUUUAUAUAGAAGCAUCAAGUACUGUUAGACCAUUCAUUACACCAAAGCCAGCAGAAAGAUGGGAAAAGAGAAAUAAUCAUUAAUAUAUUGUUGCAAUCAUUAUACUAAAGACCUCUCGGUUGGGAAUUCAGCUUAGUCAAAAGACUGAAACACGACAUAUCAAAACCAGGUAAAGAAUGAAUUUGCAACUGCCACCAAAACAAAGAAACCUUUUAACAAGUUAUGAAGGAAGGGUCAUGGUGUAUCAGUAAGUUUCAAGUAGCUUCUAAAUGAAGAUCGAGACUCAUGCUCAUAUGAAAAUCAUCUACGGACAUGGACUUCAAACUCAAGUGUUCUAACUUUGAAAGUUAAGGUAGAAACAGUUAGGAUAGCAAGACUAAGCCCUUCGAAAGUAUGGUUCUCUAAAUUCAAGCAGCUGUGCCUCUGUUUUUCGUUCAUCUUGUUCAUGUUCCCAAUAUAUUAUCCCCUGGGGGGUAUACCAUAUGCAUUGCCAGUUGCUUACAUCACGCUGAC
rnacentral:lncRNA from 1 species